GACAUUACCCCACAAGGCCCCAGCUCCUUCUCUCCAUCUCCCAGCCAGGCCACUGCCUGGUGGGGAUUAAGGGUGGCAUCUUCAGGUGUCACCUGCUGUAUGUGAGAUCAGAGGGCUGAUGGUGGACUGGAAAUUCCAGGGAGGGCAGGGAUGUUAUGCUUACUGCUCAGCCCCUGCUCUCCACUCAGUGCCAGGAGCACAGAAGGCACACACUGUCAAGUCAGUCCAAGAAUGAAACUGUCUGCUAGUCUCCCACCAUACCACUCUAGGGAAUUGGGCUUCCCUCAAGUGUUCCCCAGUGGGCACUUAGGGCAGCUGCAAUCUGGGGUUCUUGAUCAAGGGCAUAUAACUUAUGCUUCCAACUACCCUUUAAGAAGGGAGCACAGGAUGGCUCCAAAGGGCCACCUGAAUUCCCAGGUGACCUCUCUGGGCACUGGGGUGGUUUUCCAGGAGCCCAUGGGCUUGAGCCCCUAAUCUACGCUUCCUGAGUUGAUCACCUUGCAGAAGUCACAGGAGCCCAGCUGAGGGACCCCCUUCUCCAACUCCCAAGCAGCAUGCUGGGUGAGGAACUGCAGGGAGUGCUCCUGAGCCUUGCUUUCCAGCCCCAGGGAACCAAGCUUCCUCUAGAUGAAGGGUCACUGGGUGCACAGUACUAACAACAACCAAGUGGUGUGAAGAUUUGCUCAUACCAGGCACUGUGCUAAUCAUUUGGGUUAUUUACUUCUUUGAAACCUCUAAUGAUUGUGCCAUUUUACAGUGAAGGGAAUUCAAGUUUAGAAAAGAUAUUACACAGAUAUAUACACAGGCACAUGUUAGUAAUAAGAGGUGGAAACCACUGGCUCCAAAAGAGCCCAGUGGUUUCAGUCAAUUUUCUGGGGAAAAAAUGGUCAAACCAGUUAUUUGUGAUGUUAUAGACAAAACAACUAAGAUUGACCUCCCCAUACUCUAACUGGCUGCUGGGGGGCAGUGCAGACUCUGCCUCAGACAGUCAUUAUCUUUGUCUGCCUCUCCCCCAACUCCAUGGAGCUGGGUGAGAACCCUUUGUCUCCAUGAGGGGAGGAGAUGGCAAUCAGAUUCCAAUCAGGUACAGGUGUCCCCCCACAGAACAUGUGACCUUGGGCCCACAUAGAGCAUGUACCUCAUGUGCACACAUAAACCAUAAACCUGUCUCACAUACACACAGCACAUAAAAACACUUGUAAGGAACGCAUAAACUGGCACGAAUUAUCAAUACCACACAAACUGUACACGAGUACCAAGGGAAGAGAGUACUGGAGCGAUGGGAGAUGGAGAGGGGAAGUGCGCCAUUCCCUGGGGGCUGGUCUCCAGAGAAGCUUCCAGAUGGCACUGUCUGCCCCCUGCUGCAGAUUCCCUGGAGGGAAGAGGGAACCACAGAGACCUUUCCCAGCUAUCUCUAAAACAGUGCUGAGAAGUGGGUACCAAGAAUUGUCAUUGCCUCCCCUACUCUAUCAGUAGCCCCUUCUCCACUGACCCUUGGAGGCCCAUUAUCUGACUCCUAGGAGAGGUCAGGGGUGGGAGGGGUGCUGGGGCCUGGCAGGAGCAGGCACAGGAAAGCACGGGAGCUGCUGAGUAAGUUCUCCAAAGGCCCAUUCAUCAACUGAGUGGGGAUAAUCAGGGUGCUUGGCACUGAUUAUUGUCUGGGUACCAUAAACACAGAGAAUAAAUCUGGGAAGGGGCUGAAAAGGAAGGUGUCUUGGCAGUAGGGCAGGCCACCCUGCCUGGGAAGGGGGAGUAGGUCCAUCCAUCAUUCUGAGACAUGCAGCAAUCUAGACCAAUGAGAUCAGGUCAGUUGGGGGGUGAGCGAGGUAGGCAAUCAUAAAAAGAUCAUCCAGUGCAGUGCGGCUGCUUGGCUCUGAUUUUACAUAUUUAUACUGGGGAUGAAGCCUGUCCUUUCCUCCACUCCAAUUUUUACCCAGGAGCUGCUGUAGAAACCUCUGCCAUUGACUCAAAACUCUCAAAGUAAGCCUGGUUCGGAGGGCAGAGAAGAGGUACAUGAAAAUGACUUAGCUCAACAGCACCAUCCUGGAGCAGGCAGGCUGUGGGCAAAGCUGGUCCCUUUCUACUAAAAAGGGCAAUUCUUAGGUUUAGAUGGAGGUCAGAUGGGUGUUAAGCCCUUCUUCCUCCUAUUGCUUCCAAGCAGUUCCUGGGUACAGGUCACAUUCCUGUAUCCAGUCCCAGGAACUAAACGCAUAGCUCUGACCUGUGUCUGGGCCACAGAGGCUGCUCUGUAAUUCAAGUUAAUGGGGCACGGAUAAUAGAGAACAGCACAGGGUCCAGGACGAAUUUCUCUUUGGCACUGAAAUAUAUCAGAUGACUUUUGCAACUGAGUUACCUUACUAAUUAAGGAAUGGAGUUUGUGAGGUCUGAGUCCACAUGAUGAUCUGCAGGGCCAGCUGGAGUGUUCUAUUAGUCUUAAACCACAACACUAGGAACAGUUUUGAUUUUUCUGCUCCCAUGAUCCUCUUUCCUGGGACAGUUCUCUACCCCAGAUGCAAGGGUGCUGUUGUCUCUGCCUCCUCCUACUACCCUCCUCAUUCCUGAACCUGCCUGGGGCAGGGGAAACAACAGUCCUUUCAUUCCAAGAUCAAAGCAGCAAACACAAGUGAACACCCUAAGUCCCCUCUAUCUGCUCUUAUUUUCAGUGCACACGACCACUGCUGCUCUGCCCUGGAAGACUAUGAAGGUAUAAAUGCUAUAUGUCCCUGAGAACAUAUACCUAUUGCUUCUUCCUUCACCUCAGGAUAAGCCUUGGAAUAAUCCAUUUCUCUGAAGAGCCUCCAGUCUGCUGUGCUGUCAGGAAGUAUUUCUUUGUAUACUUCUUGGGUCUUUCCUGCUGCUGAGUUAAUCUAUCCUUGUGGAAUGGGUCAGUGUUUGGAUAUUAGGUAAGAUGUGUUUUCUCCUAUUUCUUCCCUUUCUCCAUCUCCUUACUCCAAAUAGCACAAUAUAAUCUAGAGUUUAAAGGGUUAACUGGAGUAAGAGGUGUUAUCUUCAACUCAGGGCAUUCCCUUUGCAAGCUGAUCCCUGCUCAGAUCUUAAGUUACCUCCUGCCCAAGCCAGCACAUCUGCUGCUGGCUUUGCAGACCUGGUCUCUAUGAAGAGGGUGGGCAUCAUGGUGGAUAAACACAGGGUGACGGGCUUCCAGGACAGCUCUCUUUCCUUCUCCUUGGCCCUCAUUCCCACUUCCCUUUCCAACAAAGGGACUGCCACUUUCUGCUGCAUGGACCAGGGAUGCUUUCAGGCACAUGUAUGUUGCCCACUUAGAAACACAUAUGAUUCUACAGGACUAUUCAUGGAAGACCAAGGCCCACAUUUAUACUCCUUUUUAAAUGUCCAGAGUAUGUCACAUUUCCCCUCAGAUGAUGCUUUUCUCCACAUGUCCAUGCAGGAAGCAAAGGUGCUAAAUUAGUACCUGAAAACCUAUCUCCUGAGGCCCCUUCCAGUCAUUCAGGGAUCCUGAGAAGUCUCAGGGCAAGCCAGGUUCCAGUUGAUACCAGGUUCCACUAGAGCUCUGUUUGCUGGGCAGGCUGACAAGAGGGGAAAAGUCUCUCUAGGUAAGCAUUUUCCUGUGAGGAUGCAGAGGCCCAAUCUAAAGCUGCAGGCAGGGCACAAAAAGAAAGUAGUGUCAAGGCUUGCUACUCCUUAAGGACCUGGAAGCCUGUGUUAGAAGGAGCUGGCUAAAGGUACAUCCUAAGUCUCCUCCCAAAAUCAUUCUCACUGACACUGAGAUAACUGCAGACAUUAUUAAGGCUCAGAGUCACUCACAAAAUCCUAGCUGGAAAGACAUAGGAAAUCAUUUAUAUGAGAAUAUACAUUUGAUGUAUGGCCACAGUGACCCAUAGAUACCAGUGCUUAUACCUCCUUGUCCUAGUGCCCAUGGGCCUGCACAUGCACAAUGAGGUGUGGAUAACUAACUCAAGCACACAAGCUUUGCACAUGUGUUCAUGUUCCCACUCUAUACUGAGUGUGAGACUAUACACAGACUGUCAGAAAUGUUACAGCCUAAGCCCCACAGCUGGCUAAUAAUGUACAUUCUACCCUAGCAUACUGGCUAACAUUCAAAGUAAAAAAAAAUCAGAAAAACAGGUGAACAUACAGAUGCCCUCUUUGUCCCUCUCUCAGUAGGAGCCAUGCAAUU